UACGGAGGGUGCAAGCGUUGUCCGGAAUCAUUGGGCGUAAAGCGUUCGUAGGCGGCAUAUCAAGUCUGGUGUCAAAGCCUGGGGCUCAACCCCAGUUAGGCACUGGAUACUGGUAGGCUAGAAUGUGGUAGAGGUAAAGGGAAUUCCUGGUGUAGCGGUGAAAUGCGUAGAUAUCAGGAGGAACACCGGUGGCGUAAGCGCUUUACUGGGCCAUAAUUGACGCUGAGGAACGAAAGCCGGGGGAGCAAAUGGG
rnacentral:rRNA from 1 species